AGGAUGAACGCUGGCGGCGUGCUUAACACAUGCAAGUCGAACGAUGAAGGAGGAGCUUGCUCCUCCAGAUUAGUGGCGAACGGGUGAGUAAUACAUGAGCAAUGUGCCCUUGACUCUGGGAUAAGCGCUGGAAACGGCGUCUAAUACCGGAUACGACCCUCGGAGGCAUCUCUGAGGUGGAAAGACUUGGUCAAGGAUGGACUCGCGGCCUAGUCAGCUAGUUGGUGAGGUAACGGCCCACGAAGGCGACGACGGGUAGCCGGCCUGAGAGGGUCGACCGGCCACGCCUGGGACUGGAGACACGGCCCAGACGUCCGACGGGAGGCGAGCAGUGGGAAUAUUGGCACAAGUGGGCGAAAGCCGUGAGUGACAGCAACGCCGCGGUGGAGGGACG
rnacentral:rRNA from 1 species